GGCCCGGUAGCUCAGUUGGUCAGAGCAGCGGACUCAUAAUCCGUCGCGCGCUGGUUCGAGUCCAGCCCGGGCCA
rnacentral:tRNA from 1 species